UGAAAGUGCAGGAAACCUUCGGGUCGAUGGAUUCGCCACUGAGCAGCUGUGCUGGUUCAAACACUUUAAGCAUCUGGAAGCACCUUAGGCUCCUCCCCCUUUCAGGAAAUCGCUUCAGGAAGGAACCAGAAGAUUCAGGAGUCUGGGAGAUGUGACUGUAACCGACCUGAACACUGAGGCCCCAGAGCGCCCCCUGCAGGAUCUGCUGCACCAUCACCGUUUCCAGCAGCAAAUCAAUCAUCUGUUGGUCCAGACAGAAAAGCUGAAGCUGUCAGUGAAGCAGAUCAGAAGCUGAGCAGCAGAAACCC